rnacentral:rRNA from 1 species
GAGUUUGAUCCUGGCUCAGGACGAACGCUGGCGGCGUGCCUAAUACAUGCAAGUCGAGCGCAGGAAACUGACGGAACUCUUCGGAGGGAAGGCAGCGGAAUGAGCGGCGGACGGGUGAGUAACACGUAAGGAACCUGCCUCAAGGAUUGGGAUAACUCCGAGAAAUCGGAGCUAAUACCGGAUAGUUCAUCGGACCGCAUGGUCCGUUGAUGAAAGGCGCUCCGGCGUCACCUUGAGAUGGCCUUGCGGUGCAUUAGCUAGUUGGUGGGGUAACGGCCCACCAAGGCGACGAUGCAUAGCCGACCUGAGAGGGUGAUCGGCCACACUGGGACUGAGACACGGCCCAGACUCCUACGGGAGGCAGCAGUAGGGAAUCUUCCACAAUGGACGAAAGUCUGAUGGAGCAACGCCGCGUGAGUGAUGAAGGUUUUCGGAUCGUAAAACUCUGUUGUAAGGGAAGAACACGUACGAGAGGGAAUGCUCGUACCUUGACGGUACCUUACGAGAAAGCCACGGCUAACUACGUGCCAGCAGCCGCGGUAAUACGUAGGUGGCAAGCGUUGUCCGGAAUUAUUGGGCGUAAAGCGCGCGCAGGCGGCCUUUUAAGUCUGAUGUGAAAGCCCCCGGCUCAACCGGGGAGGGCCAUUGGAAACUGGAAGGCUUGAGUACAGAAGAGAAGAGUGGAAUUCCACGUGUAGCGGUGAAAUGCGUAGAGAUGUGGAGGAACACCAGUGGCGAAGGCGACUCUUUGGUCUGUAACUGACGCUGAGGCGCGAAAGCGUGGGGAGCAAACAGGAUUAGAUACCCUGGUAGUCCACGCCGUAAACGAUGAGUGCUAGGUGUUGGGGGGUUUCCGCCCCUCAGUGCUGAAGCUAACCAUUAAGCACUCCGCCUGGGGAGUACGGCCGCAAGGCUGAAACUCAAAUGAAUUGACGGGGGCCCGCACAAGCGGUGGAGCAUGUGGUUUAAUUCGAUGCAACGCGAA